rnacentral:misc_RNA from 1 species
UCCAGGUGCUGUGGAGCGUGCAUCCUCAAACACAGCAGCCAGCGGUGGUUGCCUCCCCAUCCGUGGCCAUCGCUCCUGUGUCGCAAGGUAUCGUUGCCAGGAAAUAGAGGGAUCAUUCGACACGCAUCCUUUUUUGUUCUCUGUCUUGCAGUGUCGGCGCACGCCUCCCUCCCUCCCCUCCCUCUUGUAUGCUCCAUCUCUGCUUUGGUGCGGUCCUUCUCUGAUCUCCCUGUUCCCAAAUUCCAUUUGCCCUUCUAUUCAUCGCUACCUCCCCCACCGCUGUGGUGCAUGGGUGGGGCGCCUGGCUGACAAGUCACCCCAGACAUACAUGCUCAGCGACACGGAAUCGCUGGGGUUUGUGGAGGAGGACAGCUCUCCACCCCUGUCGCGGCAGCCAACGAAAGCACCUGUGGUCGUGCCAAAACGGCCACGGAUCAACACUAUGCCGCGCUUGCAUUCACCUAGCCUGCAGACCGCCAAAGCAGCUGGCGCAAAGCCUCCGCUGCACAGCUCGGCGUCCGGUGCCGCGGCAGGUGGCACCGCCGCACACCCGUCUCAGUCCGCAGCCGCCAGCAAGCCGGCGAAGGUUGACGUCAUGUCCGAUUCAGACACCGAUAGCAUUUUAUUUGCCGUGGAGGACGGCUCAGCGGCGGGGAUGCCGGCGCGUUCAUCCACAUCGUCGAUGGCGCUGCCGGCGGCUCGGCAGAACCUCAUUAGUGCAGCACCUGCCGGGCUGGCAAAACGACUAAGUCACACCGGUAGCAUCGGGUCCAUUCAGUUCAACUCAGAGCCGGGCAGUCGGCGUGCAUCUCCUGGUCCGAAGGCUCGCCUGAAUCCUCGUGCUUCGACACCCGUGGAAAAGGCGGAGGCACGAGCCCCACUGCUCUCCAGUGUCAGAUGCUGUGCUCCUACCGACACCAGCAUCAGCUUCAUUGAGCAUGGCUCGGAAAGCAUAGAGUUCGGGUUCUCCCCACUGGCGCAGCCCGAGACAGAGAAGUGCACCGCACCAGUGACGAACAGUGCCCUUCCGCUCCCUCCUCUCUCACCUGUGUCCGGCGAAGCAGCGCCCGCGGGAACAGCAGGUCGGCAUUCGACGUUCAACGAGGACAGUAUUGCCUUCCAGACCGAGGACGAAAGCGACUUCAUGCAGAGCAUCGACACCCCUGCCUUGCCCCAGAACCGAAGUCUUGUGGCGAUGAAUAGCGGCAGCAUUCCUGCCAGGCGCGACGGUCGCUCUAUCUCCGUCCUGGAAAGUUGUGCGGGUGACUCUGUGGAUAACGACAGCAUCGCCUUCAUGCUCGAAGACGACACGAAUGACAAGAACCGGCAGUUGGGGGCGACUGUUGCGUACCCGCUGAAGCGGGACACCGGGACGCCGAAGUUGUCGUCGUCGCACCACUCCCACUCGUUGCACAGUCGCCCGCCGUCGCGGCCGCUGAGCCCGUCAAUUCGGUUUGACAUAGAGAACACAGGCAACGAGAGUGCCGUGGAGCGCUCCGACCCGCUGUUUGGCGGCCGUGGUACUCAACCGCUCGCCGCAGACAGUCUGCCGGUAUUUGGUCGCUGUUCGACUCCAACGUCGUCGCCGAUUCCGGACGCCCUGCCCAGCAGCAGCAAUGCGGCGCUGGGCAGCACAGCGGGCGUCGGUGCUCUUGACGCCGCUGGAGAGGCUGGCACGACGGCAACACCUUCGCCGACAGCCUCGCAACCGACCAAGAAAACGAUCGUGACGAAUCGCCUCCAGCAGCCGAAGAAUCAGCACUCGCGUCUGCCUCAGCCGCGCAAGCGUGCCCCCACACCAGUCGUCAGGGACGCAGAGCUGUCUCCUGCGCGCAGCGCCACGCACCCGCCACUGUACCAAAGGGCAGCGGUAUCCACCCCUCUCGACGCGCAGGCCUCUGGGGCGCCGUCGGUGUCGCCUACCGGAGGCUCGAAGAGCCGCUCUGCCUCCUUAAGCGACCGAAACGUGUCAAGGAAGAAGGGCGCUCGGGUGCCCUUGCCUCCUCGCCUCACGCACGAGGAACAGCGAGGGCGGCUGAAGCGUCGAUCGAAGGAGUCCUCGGCGUGCUGGACAACGAGUGAGUCGCCCAAUCACCGACUUGUCACGGAGGAAGGCAGCACCGGGUCCAUGGAUUCACCACCUGAGGCUCUCGUCACGGGGGCCCGAAGUCACACCUCAACGGCGGCCGCCUCUGCCACCGCCUCGCCGACGCAGGAGAUCCAAAUGGCGUUCCCGGAACCCGCAGGUCAACGCGCUCCCCACAGCUCUGUUCAGGUGUAUUCGGCCAACCGGGAAGUAGAGAACCAGUAUUAUCGGCACCAUCAGCAGCUAAACCGAGAUUCGAACCCCCUCACAGCCGACGACCACGCGUACCCGCUUGAGAUGCGGGGCGAGCUUGUCACCGGUGCCUUUGAAGAGGCGGAACAGUGGCGGCAGUUUAAUGAGCGGCAACGCGCAGAACUGGUCGAGCUGCGCAAGCGCAUCGCCAUUGCCCGUCGACAGGAUCGCACGCUGCUGGAGAGCUCGCCGUCGCACGAGAGGGAAGCCCUAAUGCCCACCCCCAGCAGUCUUCGCUUCGUCCCGCAGCCAACGCCGAUGGGGGGUGGAUACAGCAGCAGGAGGUCGCGAUCACAAAGAGCGCUGCACCAAGCUGAGGCGCGUGACAAAGACGCCAAGCGCGGAGGUGUGCAAGGCAAACCCUUCAGAGAGGCGCGCGGGACUUCACCGCCGACAGGCAGCGCUAGACGUCUUCAGGCAUCCUUCAAAGGCUCACGCCCCCGCCGCUGCGGCGAAGCCGUCCCCGUGUCCGGCUCACCGGACCGGGCCUGCCGUGUCACCUCCGAGCCCUUACCCGCGCGCCACAUCCGCUAUGCACGGAGUACCUUCUGAUAUCAUCGCGCAGUCGCGGCAGCAGCCUCCGUUGCGGACCUUUUGGGCAUUCUCUGGCCUCCUCGUACCUCUGCUGCAGAUCCCUCGCUGCGGCGCUCUCAAGCCAUCGGCGCUUUCGUACUGGAAAGCGGCACCCCGGCAGUGGACCUGUACUUUUUGAAUGGGUCGCGGCUCACCCCAGAGCAAGUGGCGCGCUUCCUCGACCUCGUUCGCGUGCAAAGGGACGCUGAGCCUCACACGGGUGCAGCAGCUCCCACCCGGGCGAGCGUGGUAGGGGCAAUGGAGACUCUCUCUCCCACCACGCUUCGUCCGCAAGCGGCACCUUCCUCCCUCACUGUGUCGGCGAAGCGUGGCGGCAAUGUCGUGUACGUCGACCCGGCAGACCUCUACGCGUUUGGACGCUCGAUCCCUCUCUCAUUGUCGCCGGCUCGCGAUAGCCGCGCAGCCCCGCUUUCCGCGAAGCUCACCGCACUGCUCCCCAAGAAGGCGAUUCGCCGCAGUCGAGUGCUGCGGGAGGUGUUUGACGCUAUGGACCUCAAGCGGCAAGGCAGCAUCGCGCUGCACCAUCUUCCGUCCCUGGCUCGCUUGUUUGAAGUCGAGCUUGCCUCCAUCGAGCACACUCGUGAAUCACUUCUUCAAGGCAACGCAGUGCCGCUGAGGUCGUUGCUGGAAUCCGCAGUGGUAAGCCGACAGCUGCACGCCACCUCGUGGAGAGGUGCACGCGAGAAUGUCGCUGCUGGUGUCCAGAAGGGCCUGGGCGCCGUCAAUGGUGUCGCGCUCGAUUACGCCGGACUAACCCGGGACGAGCAAGCGAGUUUGACGCACCUCACGCAUCGCCUGCUGCUCUUGUCCUUUGCCGUGAACGUCGUCAUUCCCAUUGCUUCGGCCAGCCGCAUUCCUCUGCUGGACUUCUCGACGCUCAGCAUGAUCGUCUACGCCGCCGUCGACAACGUCGACCAACCCAUGGGCUCACCGAAGGGAGAGUGGCGGCAAGUGGUGCAGCAGUACUUUAUUGCGCUGGCUGCGUGAGGCAAAGAGAGCCGACGGGAGGGGCGGCGAAGGAGCGUGGCGAUGAGAUUAAAGAUAGCGAUAGACUUUUGUCCGGCUACGACCUUCCUUGUCCACUCCAGCGUCUCGAACGGUGAUGCGGGCCGCGUUGUAUCCUCUAGCAUCUCAGGUAUUGGUUUCCCUUUUGAUAAACCUCCUGUACUAUUCUGCGAUGUGCGUGGGUGUGUGCUUGUCUCUCGUUGAGUCUGUAUGUGUCCCUGUGCGGCAUCUUC